CAUGCAACUUAAUAAAGUAAAUGGCCAUGUUUGAGAAUCCCAUGUGACAGAGAACUGCAGGGAACCCCUAGGAAUAGCAAAAAGUCAGUGUCUUAGAAACGGAACUUUAAGGAAAUGAAUUCUACCAACAAUUUGAAGGAGCUUGGAAACUCUCUCCCCAGUGUAGCUUGCAAUGGGAAUACAGCUUCACUAACACCUUGGUUGCAGACUUGUGAGACCUUAAACAGAGGACCAGGAUAUGGUGUGUCUGAACUUGAGGCUGCAGAAAUUAUCCUGACGGGAACAGAAGACAAGGAAUGUGGGCACCCUCUAGAAGCUGCAGAAGCCAGAGAAACAGACUCUCCCCUGGAAUGUUCAGAAAGUGUACAAUCCUGCCAAGACCUCAGUCAUAGCCCAGUGAAACCCAUUUUGAAAUUCUGACCACCAGAACUUUUUGCCUUGUGCCUGAGACACACCCAGACCUUUAGCCUCCAGCCUGCAGAAAUUGGCAGAUUUCUUCUGUGAAAAGCCAGGAGCAAAUUUUCAGCUCAAUUCUGCAAGUUUCAAUCUUCAAUGGAAUUUUAAUCUAUCAUCUUCUAUUUUUAUAUAACUUUCUGGUGUCUUCAAAAAUGUGACUUUUAUGAUUAUUUUGUUUUUCUACCUAUUUUCAGUGAGAACACUGGGUUACCAUAAAGUACUCAGUCAUACCUAGAAGUGAAAUAUUUAUUUUAAAAAUAUAUACAUGCAUAUUUUCCUGAUUAAUGACAAUGUUGACUACAUGUUGAAAGAUCAUUUGGUUAUCUUCUUCAGUGAAAUGCUUCUUAAAGUCUUUUCUACUGUGCUGC